GACGAACCGUGCGAACGUUAUUCGGAAUCACUGGGCUUAAAGCGCGUGUAGGCGGGCCGCCACGUCGGGCGCUGAAAUCCCCCGGCUCAACCGGGGAACGGGCACCGAUACGAGCGGCCUGGAGGGGAGUAGGGGGACCUGGAACUUCCGGUGGAGCGGUGAAAUGCGUUGAGAUCGGAAGGAACGCCCGUGGCGAAAGCGAGGUCCUGGGCUCCUGCUGACGCUGAGACGCGAAAGCCAGGGGAGCGAACAGG
rnacentral:rRNA from 1 species